CUCGCGCACUCUCUCCUCCUCGCGCACUCUCUUCUCCUCGCGCUCUCCCUCGUCGCGCCAGCAGCACGCGCACAACACCACCUCCUCGCCGUCGCACUGCCGCCGUUCGCCGGAGACCGUCGCUGCUGCUCGCCGGCGUCCAUUCCUCAGGCGUGAUUUCUUUCUUCCCUGCUCUUAGAAGCAGAGAUUAAGGAAGAUAAAGGAUAUUACAAGCCUCCCCCGGCUAUCAAGGUUAUUAAGCAGGAAUUCAGGUACCGAUGGUGAUAACGGGAUGGCGUAGCAGUGAGGAUUUAAUUAAUAUCUAGAUUAUCUAGACUCUCAUGGUUUUAAUUUAAGUUUAUGUCAAAACUCUGAUUAGUAACUAAGUUUCUAUUAAUCAAG